rnacentral:rRNA from 1 species
GGUCUUGACAUCCCUCUGACCGCUCUAGAGAUAGAGCUUUCCUUCGGGACAGAGGUGACAGGUGGUGCAUGGUUGUCGUCAGCUCGUGUCGUGAGAUGUUGGGUUAAGUCCCGCAACGAGCGCAACCCCUAUUGUUAGUUGCCAUCAUUUAGUUGGGCACUCUAGCGAGACUGCCGGUAAUAAACCGGAGGAAGGUGGGGAUGACGUCAAAUCAUCAUGCCCCUUAUGACCUGGGCUACACACGUGCUACAAUGGCUGGUACAACGAGUCGCAAGCCGGUGACGGCAAGCUAAUCUCUUAAAGCCAGUCUCAGUUCGGAUUGUAGGCUGCAACUCGCCUACAUGAAGUCGGAAUCGCUAGUAAUCGCGGAUCAGCACGCCGCGGUGAAUACGUUCCCGGGCCUUGUACACACCGCCCGUCACACCACGAGAGUUUGUAACACCCGAAGUCGGUGAGGUAACCGUAAGGAGCCAGCCGCCUAAGGUGGGAUAGAUGAUUGGGGUGAAGUCGUAACAAGGUAGCCGUAUCGGAAGGUGCGGCUGGAUCACCUCCUUUCUAAGGA